CCUACGGGAGGCUGCAGUAGGGAAUUUUCGGCAAUGGGGGGAACCCUGACCGAGCAACGCCGCGUGAACGAAGAAGUUAUUCGUAAUGUAAAGUUCUUUUAACAGGGAAGAAAGAGAAAUUGGACGGUACCUGACGAAUAAGCCCCGGCAAACUACGUGCCAGCAGCCGCGGUAAUACGUAGGGAGCGAGCGUUAUCCGGAAUCAUUGGGCGUAAGGGGUGCGUAGAUGGCAUAGUAAGUCUUUUGUAAAAAUGCUGGGCUCAACCCAGUAGUGCAAAAGAUACUGCAAGGCUAGAGUAUGACAGAGGCAGGUGGAACUACAGGUGUAGCGGUAAAAUGCGUAGAUAU
rnacentral:rRNA from 1 species